CAUCAUAUGAUCGAUAAUAUGUGCUAACAUGAGGGUUGGUUCUUGCCUUUGGCUACAAUUUACCAUUUUAAACCAUAAUCACAUGCAUGGUGUAUGCGACCGGAUUAGUUGCCAUUUUUGUUAAUUGUGUCAUAAAGUUGCUAACCUUUUAUCAGUGUUUUUAGAUGAGAAAUGGAGACACCUCUUUUAUGGUUUAGGGUUGCAAAGGGGUUCUGUUCCAAGGAAACAAUGCAUGACAUCAUAGGUUCUAAAAGAUGGAAAACAGGAUAUCUGUGGAAUUUCUCUGCGGGGGGGUAAAAAGUUAUUCAAGUUUUCAGAAAUGAUUGAAGUCCACAAAAAUCUUAGGAUCAAGUAGAUAUAAUGAAGUUGAAGAUGAAGAUAACAUGUAUAUAUAUUCUAUGCAUCAUAUUGGUGCAAACCAGCAAGACCGUGAAUGGAGGGACCAAAAAGAGCAAAUAAAUUUGUAAUCAUGUCAUUAUUAUUGUUAUUGCAAUAAUAAUAGUCUUGAAUUCUUGAUAGCAUGGUCCUACUUCUGCCCUCGUCUCAUCCGUGACUCUUUCUACUUAUUAUUUACCACAAUCAACAUAUUCGCUUCACUGCCAAUAUGUGAUUAGAUUUGAAAUUAUAUUUUAUAAUAAAUUUGUACAAUAAAAAAUUUUAAAGAGAA